AGAUCGGAAUGGAAGUCAUCAGGAUAUCGACCGCAGCUAUGUGUGUUCUUCAAUCUAGACCUAGUUUUACCUACAUGGCAGCUUGUCUUGCUGAACGUUUCACCGUGCAGACAGAUAGAUACCAAACGCAUUAGGACGAUGGAUGUUUUGAAGCACCGGGACAGCACGAGGAAGAGUUGGCUUGUGGAAGGCUUGCAUAGCGAGCCUACUGCUACAAGGCAGGUAGCCUGGGAUAGUGUUUUCGGAUUGUCGUUCGUUUGGAUGGGUCUAAAGGCGAGCAUACGCGCAUCUGUUAAUAAACAAAUUUACAUGAUCAAAAGUUUAGGUAUAUAUAAAUGUUUUAUUUUUAUACAUAAAAAUUUAAAAAAAACAAAUAUAUAACAUAUAAAGUAUAUAU
rnacentral:lncRNA from 1 species